GCAGAACUGCUGCAGUACAUCGGUUGGUCCACUCUAUCCGGUAUUUUUUUUAAUUCGGUUGAAUUUAAGUUAGAAAACAUAACAUGGACAAAGACUUUAACCAUCGGGUACCGGACAUAUGGAAAACUGCAGCAGACCGAGAGGAACUUGAACCUGCUCUGUAGAAGAUUAUACAAUCCUGUUUUUCUUGGAUCUACUGUGGAUCGCUGGGACUUAAGUCAAAAUGAGACAGAGGAUGUUUUAUUUGGAGCUGCUCCAGAGAAGUCUCCUACCACGUCAUUUUCAAAAGAUCAGCAUUGAAGCAUUGUUUACAGUAAGAAUAGACACCAACAGAAAGACAAAUCCAACACUAAUGCACCAAGGAUCAAGGUGAUUUUUGGCAGCUUGGAGAAUUUUUCUUUAUCUGUCACAUCUGGUACAGAAUCUCUGACAUUUUGGUAUUUGUAAUGUUUAUUUUAUUAUAUUUGUAUACUUAUGCUAGAUAUUAAUAUACUUGUAUAGUUACUGUAUGUUUCUGAAUUAAAAGAUAGCCCCAGGUAAAAAUGUAAAACUGAUAUAAUACUGAUAUUGAAAAUACAAGCUAAAAUGGCACAAUUUGUUGCUUUCUCCACCUGUUUCACAAAUGAAAACAUUUUAUAUGCACAGAUUCACUUGCCGGAACUGUACAGAUUUUUUUUGUUUAAUUUCAGGCCAAUCUGUAUUGUUGACACAACGUUUGUUAUAUGAAUGCCACAUCUGAAGGGAGCUGCCUUGAAAAAAAUAUAAAUGGCAUUUUCUUUUCGUCUUAUCUCCGUAUAGACCAUGGUUCCUCCCAUCUUACCCUGAAGGUGCCCUGCAGAGUUAGCUCCAACCUUAAAAGGAAAACACCACACUUUUUCAAUAUUUUUUAUGUUAUCACCUCAACUUAAAAAUUAAUACAAACCCUUUUUUUCAAUGCGUGCACUUUUAAUCUUUGUACAGCGCAUCGUGAAUGUGUAAGCAUUUACCCAAGCCCAAUUUAUUCCUUAGGAACAAAACAAAAGUUUUAUUUUGUGCCACCAUACUUACUCGUGUUACUAUUCAUGUAACAGUCUUUAAAUAGGAAAAAACAUGGAAGUGUUUGGUGGCUUUUAAAUUAAUCCCUGUUUGGAUCCUAAGGAAUGAAUGGGGC